rnacentral:tRNA from 1 species
GCCUGGGUGGCUCAGUCGGUUGAGCGUCUGACUUCAGCUCAGGUCAUGAUCUCAUACUCCGAGAGUUCGAGCCCCGCGUCGGGCU